GGGGCCAUAGCUCAGUCGGUUAGAGCAUGCGACUCAUAAUCGCCCGGUCCAGGGUUCAAGCCCCUGUGGCCCCACCA
rnacentral:tRNA from 1 species